rnacentral:rRNA from 1 species
UACGAAGGGGGCUAGCGUUGCUCGGAAUUACUGGGCGUAAAGCGCACGUAGGCGGUCUUUUAAGUCGGUGGUGAAAUCCUGGAGCUCAACUCCAGAACUGCCUUCGAUACUGGAAGACUUGAGUCCGGGAGAGGUGAGUGGAACUGCGAGUGUAGAGGUGAAAUUCGUAGAUAUUCGCAAGAACCCCCGUUGCGGAAGCGGCUCACUGGCCCGGUACUGACGCUGAGGUGCGAAAGCGUGGGGAGCAAACAGG